rnacentral:rRNA from 1 species
AUUGAACGCUGGCGGCAGGCCUAACACAUGCAAGUCGAGCGGAUGAAGGGAGCUUGCUCCUGGAUUCAGCGGCGGACGGGUGAGUAAUGCCUAGGAAUCUGCCUGGUAGUGGGGGAUAACGUCCGGAAACGGGCGCUAAUACCGCAUACGUCCUGAGGGAGAAAGUGGGGGAUCUUCGGACCUCACGCUAUCAGAUGAGCCUAGGUCGGAUUAGCUAGUUGGUGGGGUAAAGGCCUACCAAGGCGACGAUCCGUAACUGGUCUGAGAGGAUGAUCAGUCACACUGGAACUGAGACACGGUCCAGACUCCUACGGGAGGCAGCAGUGGGGAAUAUUGGACAAUGGGCGAAGGCCUGAUCCAGCCAUGCCGCGUGUGUGACGAAGGUCUUCGGAUUGUAAAGCACUUUAAGUUGGGAGGAAGGGCAGUAAGUUAAUACCUUGCUGUUUUGACGUUACCAACAGAAUAAGCACCGGCUAACUUCGUG